GCCAACUUGCCCUCCAUUCAGGACUUAAACACGUCCAGAGUCAGGAAACGGGCAGGAAACAUCACUGCAGAUCCAUUAAACCCUGGUCACAACCUGUUCCAACUUCUCUCCUCUGGUUCAAGAGUUGUUCAGGAGCAUCCGAUGUUGAAAAGCACAUAAUGACAGAAAAACACUCAUCAACAUCGGAAAGGAAGCGCAGACACUGGAUUAAGUGCAGCGGACCGUGAGGCGAUGACUGCCCACAACAUCUUCCGGCCACCCAGCCAGAUCAGCCGGACCAAAUGCCACUGUAAGCAGUGCGACCACCCCAGGAAGAAGGGGAAGAGAGCCGGGCUAAAAGUCAAGCUAAACCAGAUUGGACCUAAGGCUAUACCACUACCCUGUCUACUCCUGGCUAAUGUCCGGUUGACAAAAUAAGACUCAGGCUAACCCAGCAACAGGAAAUCAGAGACUGUUGUGCCCACAUUGGUAGAGUAUCUAUGUUCCCAGGGUCCUAUGUUCCCUGACCCCCAAUCCUAACUCUAGAACUGGGGAACAUAGGACCCUGGGAACAUAGGACCCUUUGUCAUAUUCCCAUUAUGUGCCAUAUAAAUCUGGGGAGCAUAGGACCCUGGGAACAUAGGAAUGACCCCGUCCCACAUCUUUACAGAGACUUGGCUCCACCACAACAUCCCGGAUCAAGCUAUUGCACCUGAUGAUUGCGCCCACAGAACGCAAGACUCCGGUAAGACGAGGGGAGGUGGACUCUGUGUUUAUCAAUGAUGCUUGGUGCUCAAACGUAGUAGAUGGACAUUGUUCCCCAGAUGUCGAAUUUUUAGAGAUGCCAACCAUAUCAUCUGCCCAGAGAAUUCACCAGUGUUUUUGUUGCUACUGUUUACAUUACCCCAGAAUGCACUUCAGGAACUAUAUGAGGUCAUCAGCAGUCACAUGACAAAACAACCGGAUGGUGUUUUUAUUGUAGCUGAUGAGAGAAGAAGAAUCAGAAGAAUCCUUCUGAGAGUAAAUAUGAGUAAAGCUGCUGGGCCUGAUAACAUCCCUGGCCGUGUACUAAAAACAUAUGCCAACCAGCUAGUUGAUGUUAUUACUGACAUUUUUAACAUAUCACUGUCACAGGAGAUUGUUCCUUAAAAGUCUGCAGUGCCUAAAUGACUACCGCCCUGUAGCACUCACCCCCAUUCUAAUGAAGUGCUUUGACAAACUGGUUCUCCAGCAUAUCAAAGACAAUCUGAAUUUCAAACAACGAUGAGACUUCAUAUCAUGAGGAACUAUUUUCUUUCUACCGAUAGUUUCUACAUGAAAUUGCUCACAACAAGGUCUGUGGAUUAUCUUGAGUAACCGGGUCAUGAUUUCUGGAAAGAGACAUGAAGAGGCUGAGUGCCUUAUAGUCCCAUUAUAUUUAAAAAAUGCAGACAUGUUUACAGCCGAUAUCUCUAAAACUUGCCAACUCACACCAAAACAAUCUAGAUGGAUAAAUAGCACUAGAGGUAAAAGGAAAAUAUGUAUUUUUGAUUUCGGGGUGAACUGUCCCUUUAAAUUGGCUCCUAGGUAGAAACCUACAUAUGAAAAUGAUAUGCACCAAUUAUGUCGCUUAUAUUUUGUGACUGGGACUGGGAGAGGCAGCACAGAAAGCUUACGGAGCUGGAAAAAAACGGAGCUGCUGCCCACUGCAGGGACGGCUAGUGGCAGCUGGCUGAAAUCGGCCUGUGUCCUCUCGUGGCUCCUGGCACCACACUGAGGCAAGGCUGUGUGCUUGUUUCUUAUUUUAUGGGGAUAAAAUCUGUUUUUUAAAUUCUGUCUAUCCCACAUCUCCGUCCCUCGUGAAUGUACGUGAAGUCGCAAACAGCUCCUGUUGAGGGAGGGGUAGAACCUAGGCGUCUAUUUGGAGCGGCAUCUCUUCCUGUAUUCACUUGCACUCGGACAUCGGAGUCUUACAAAUUUAGGACUAGCCACAACUUUUCACAUAUAUAUUUUUUAAUUAGAUUGUCCAAAACUGGGGUGGCAGCUGGGGUGGCAAGGCAUUUUUUAGGGUUGGCAGCUGCCAUCCGCACCUGUGUACAAACAUCCAUGGUUCCCACAGGAUCAAUUAUAAUAACUUUGUUUAUCCCUUAAAAUUUCAUCUAGCACCAUCAUCCGGUCAACAUUUUAAUUUGUCCAAUACUU